rnacentral:misc_RNA from 1 species
AUGGCUGGACAACAGGUUUUCCAAGCUCAACAACUUUUCAUAAGAUGAGAGCCUUGAGAUAAGCCUUCAUUUUGAUGGCUCAUAUGUGAUAAUUCUCUCCGGUAAAAGUCGGAGGACCUAUGGAUGGUUGAUAUUCAGGUGCCAUGUAAUUUUUCAGCAAGUUACAAUAAAAAAGGAUGAACUUCAAGUCUAGAAGGUGUAAACAGUAGGAAAUCGCAACCGUAAAUUGCAACAAGAAAUCUGAAAGUGAAGAAGAAGGCUUGGGU